rnacentral:sRNA from 1 species
CGACCAGGGUUCGAUUCGAGCGUAGCGAGAAAGCGUUGCCGCAGGCAACGACCCGAAGGGCGAAGCGCGAAGCGCUGAGUAAUCCUUCCCCCACCACCA